rnacentral:rRNA from 1 species
GACGAACGCUGGCGGCGCGCUUAAUACAUGCAAGUCGAGCGAGAACCAGGGCUUCGGCCCUGGGGACAGCGGCGAACGGGUGAGUAACACGUGGAUAACCUACCCUCGGCACCGGAAUAGCCCGGGGAAACUCGGAUUAAUGCCGGAUAGCCCCACAUCCUCUCGAGGAACGUGGGAAAGGUAGCUUCGGCCUCUGGCCGGGGAUGGGUCCGCGGUGGAUUAGCUUGUUGGUGCGGGUAAUGGCCCACCAAGGCGACGAUCCAUAGCUGGUCUGAGAGGACGAUCAGCCACACUGGGACUGAGACACGGCCCAGACUCCUACGGGAGGGCAGCAGUAGGGAAGUCUUGCGCAAUGGGCGAAAGCCUGACGCAGCGACGCCGCGUGCGGGAAGAAGGCCUCGGUUGUAACG